rfam:Nicotiana sylvestris Nsyl_contig70463, whole genome shotgun sequence.
GUGGUUGUAGUUUAUUGGUGAGAAUUCCACGUUGUGGCCGUGGAGACCUGAGCUCGAAUCCCAGCAGCCACA